rnacentral:tRNA from 1 species
UAUUUAUAAACCUUAAUUAAACUUUAAAUUUAAUUAUUCCUUU